CAGUCUGGAUCAUGGAGGACACACGAGGAUUACAGCAGGACCACGCAAAUAUGCCUGUUUCCUCACUCUGGAUCCAAACACAACAUACGCUUUUCUCAUUCUGUCUGAGGAGAACAGAGAGGUGAAGCGUGUGAGAGAGUAUCAGCGGUAUCCUGAUCAUCCAGACAGAUUUGAUGGUAUUUAUUCUCAGGUGUUGUGCAGAGAGAGUGUGUGUGGACGCUGUUAUUGGGAGAUUGACUGGAGUGGAGAUGAUGUGUGGAUAUCAGUGUCAUAUAAGAGCAUCAGGAGGAAGGGAGUAGAUCCUGAGUAUUUGUUCGGAUGUAAUGCUCAGUCCUGGAGUUUGCGCUGCUAUUCCUCCAGUUAUAUAUUUUGGCAAAAUGACACACGCACUGAUCUCCCAGUGAAACCGCUCAGCAGGAGAAUAGGAGUGUUUGUGGAUCACAGUGCAGGAACUCUGAUCUUCUACAACAUCUAUAGAGACACAAUGAGCCUCAUCCACUCAGUCCAGACCACAUUCACUGAGCCGCUCUAUCCUGGGUUUACUAUUUGGUGUCAAUCAUCAGUCAAACUGUGCUGAAGACUGAGAAGGAGCAGUCAGUAGCAGUGUGUGUGUGUGUGUGUGAGAGAGAGAGAGAGUGUUUGUUUGUGUAUGUGUGAAAGAGCAUGUGUGUGCGAGUGUGUGUGUGUGUUUGAGUGUGUGCAUGAGUGUAUGUUUGUCUGUGUGGGAUUUUUUUUUCUACAAAAAUACUUUCUUACAUCAUUUUUUUUUGACACAUUGUAACUCCACAUCAGAUGUAACAGCAGCUCUCCUACCUCCACACUGCAGACAGCGUCCUUAUAACAGCACUGUUGUUCAAAGGUUUCAGCAUCAUUUAUGGCCUUGUAAUACUUUAAAUAUAUUUUAAUUCUGGACCUGACGAACGCUUUAAAACUCCCAAUCUCUUGACCAUGUACAUCAGGGGUGUCAAACUCAAUUCCUGGAGGGCCGAAGCCCUGUACAGUUUAGUUCCAACCCUGCUCCAACACACUUACCUGUAGAUUUCAAACAAGCCUGAAGGACUAAAUUAGUUUGAUCAGGUGUGUUUAAUUAGGGUUGGAACUAAACUGUGCAGAGCUGCGGCCCUUUUGCAACUGAGUUUGACACCUGUGAUGCACAUCAUCUAUUUAGUUUCUUCUUGUGAUAAGUAGAGCAAGUUUUGCUUGAGCAACUAAACAGUGAAUGAACUGCUAUUUCAGUUUGUGUUUCUGACUAUAGCCAGCUCCAGAAGAAACUUACAUUGAGUCAAAUUCUCUCCACAUUUCAGGAAAACUCUGCUCAACAUAUCAAACUAUUGUGUUAAACGUGUACAGUCUCUCUAUGUCCACAGAAGAGACACUCGUCAUGGACACUAGAGUGAACAACACGUAUGAAAUCAUUCACUGCCACAAUCCCCUGCAGAAUCCUCCAUUGUAAAUCCCCAACACAUUUUGUCAAAGUUGGUUUAUACAAAACUCUCCACACUGGUUUUCCCCCUAAAGUAUCAUGAAAUGUCAGUUAUUUCUGUUAAUCUGCCUUUGUCACCUCUCUGAUCCGUAAUAAUAAUAAUAAUAAUCAUAAUAUUAGACAUUUGUUUGGACAUGAUGUGCUCUCUUCAACAAGCAGCUUUUCUCUUCAUUCUGCAGGCUGUUCGCUCUGGCAGUUGGUCAGAUAUUUGUAAGCAAGCCUAUAAUAAAAAGCAGAGUUAUUCUGCAGUCAGGUGAUGUGCUCCAUCAGGCACAACAAUCUUGAUAGUA